AGUUCAAGAUCUGGAACACUUCUUUUGCAGACUUUGCCCCAGGCAUCAAGACACCGCCCAGAGUUAGAGGACGCUGGCCUGUAGCUUCAGCAGAUCAACUCUGCGGGGGCGUGGCUUCUACACACCUGGGCAGGAGGGGGCGUGGCCUUACUUCACCCAGCCAAACCCAGCGAGCCUAAGUCAGGACGUUACCACGGGUCACCUGGUCCCCACAGCUAACAUGUGACCAGGCCUGUGCCCCCCCCAGAGGGCGGGGCCUCACCUGUUCUUGCCUCUCAGGCCUGCCCACGUGACAGGAGCAGGUGGCCAGGUCAAAGUCCAACGGCCCAGCAAAGCCUAUGACCUAUUCCUCCUUCCAGCCCCAAGACAGAGGAGAGCUGCCCAAGGCAGGGCGAGAAGAGAGGGCACACACCUGACCCAGCCCCGCCCCCCAGACCUACCCAGGAACCAAGAGGCCCCACUUUGCAAGUUUGGAUCAGUAACUUCCAGCUGGUUUGGGGAUCCUACCUCCUCCUACUUUGUUUCCAAGGACAGCUGGGCUCAGCCUGGGUUGUAAUGCUGGGAAGUGAGUGACUCAACCCCUCUCUAAGGCCACAGCUGGACCCCAGCCCAUCUCCUUCAGCCUGCACAUCUGGAAUUUGAUCCCAUCAUCACAGCUGGGAUGGAGACCCUGAGUUCCACAACAGAGGACACCACUCCCUCCCCCUCUCCAUUGAGUAUGUAAAACCCUCUGUGUGAAUUCCUUGUACCAUUACCAUGGAAACACUGACAGUCUUCCUGCA